GGCGGGGUAGCGAAGCGGUCAAACGCAGCGCGCUGUAAACGCGCCGGCUCAGCCUUCGCAGGUUCGAAUCCUGCCCCCGCCA
rnacentral:tRNA from 1 species